GGACAACCUACCCUCGGGUCCGGCAUAAUCCUGGGAAACUGGGGAUAAUUCCGGAUAGGUCACAGAAGCUGGAAUGCUCUGUGGCCCAAAGCUCCGGCGCCCGAGGAUGGGUCUGCGGCCUAUCAGGGUUGUAGUGGGUGUAAUGUACCUACUAGCCUACGACGGGUACGGGUUGUGAGAGCAAGAGCCCGGAGAUGGAUUCUGAGACACGAAUCCAGGCCCUACGGGGUGCAGCAGGCGCGAAAACUUUACAAUGCGGGAAACCGUGAUAAGGGAAUCUCGAGUGCCAGCAUAUAAUGUUGGCUGUCCAGAUGCCUAAAAAGCAUCUGUUAGCAAGGGCCGGGCAAGACCGGUGCCAGCCCGCCGCGGUAACACCGGCGGCCCGAGUGGUAACCGCUAUUAUUGGGUCUAAAGGGUCUGUAGCCGGCCAGGUAAGUCCCUUGGGAAAUCUGGCAGCUCAACUGUCAGGCUGCUAGGGGGUACUGUUUGGCUUGGGACCGGGAGAGGUGAGAGGUACCUUGGGGGUAGGGGUGAAAUCUUGUGAUCCUCGGGGGACCACCAGUGGCGAAGGCGUCUCACCAGAACGGGUCCGACGGUAAGGGACGAAAGCUAGGGGCACGAACCGGAUUAGAUACCCGGGUAGUCCUAGCCGUAAACGAUGCUCGCUAGGUGUCAGUCACGGUGCGACCGUGAUUGGUGCCGUAGGGAAGCCGUGAAGCGAGCCACCUGGGAAGUAUGGCCGCAAGGCUGAAACUUAA
rnacentral:rRNA from 1 species